GUGGGGAAUCUUGCGCAAUGGGCGAAAGCCUGACGCAGCGACGCCGCGUGUGGGAUGAAGGCCUUCGGGUCGUAAACCACUGUCGCGAGGGACGAAUAAAUUGACGGUACCUCGAAAGGAAGCACCGGCUAACUCUGUGCCAGCAGCCGCGGUAAUACAGAGGGUGCGAGCGUUGUCCGGAAUCACUGGGCGUAAAGGGCGCGUAGGCGGUUUUGUAAGUCGGGGGUGAAAUGCUGCGGCUCAACCGCAGCGCUGCCCUCGAGACUGCAAGACUGGAGCACGGUAGAGGCGGAUGGAAUUCCCGGUGUAGCGGUGGAAUGCGUAGAGAUCGGGAAGAACACCAAUGGCGAAGGCAGUCCGCUGGGCCGUUGCUGACGCUGAGGCGCGACAGCGUGGGGAGCAAACAGGAUUAGAAACCCCAGUAGUCC
rnacentral:rRNA from 1 species